rnacentral:tRNA from 1 species
GGGGAUGUAGCUCAGUGGUAGAGCGCAUGCCUAGCAUACAUAAGGCCCUGCGUUCAAUCCCCAGCACCA